rnacentral:rRNA from 1 species
CCUACGGGAGGCAGCAGUGAGGAAUAUUGGUCAAUGGGCGCGAGCCUGAACCAGCCAAGUAGCGUGAAGGAUGACUGCCCUACGGGUUGUAAACUUCUUUUAUAAAGGAAUAAAGUGAGUCACGUGUGCCUUUUUGUAUGUACUUUAUGAAUAAGGAUCGGCUAACUCCGUGCCAGCCGCCGCGGUAAUACGGAGGAUCCGAGCGUUCUCCGGAGUUAUUGGGUUUAAAGGGAGCGUAGAUGGGUGGUUAAGUCAGUUGUGAACGUUUGCGGCUCAACCGUAAAAUUGCAAUUGAUACUGGCAGCCGUGAGUACAGUAGAGGUAGGCGGAAUUCGAGGUGUAGCGGUGAAAUGCUUAGAUAUCACGAAGAACUCCGAUUGCGAAGGCAGCUUACUAAACUACAACUGACAUUGAUGCGCGAAAGUGUGGGUAUCAAACAGGAUUAGAUACCCCUGUAGUC